GAGUCAUUGACAACUAGGAGUCAGCGUCAAAACUCUUUUAGCCACGUUUGAGCAACAAGGGAGGUUUGGAGGGAGUAGCUCUCAAGCUAAGUUUACCUGGAGUUCAUUAUUAAGUUUAAUUUUAUCAGUUCCAUAGGUGUUUCCUAUCACCUCAAAGUGCUGGGCCAGCAUUAUUCUGUUAGGCAUUGUAGUUUGGCAGAAUUUUAACAAGUAAUAGCUACAAAGUUUAAAAAGAAAAAUAGAAAGUAAAAUGAUAAUCUCGGUUUGUGUAAUAGUUUUCAGCCAUGAACCUAGGAUUCAAGGUUCAAUUAAACCUUUGAAUCAAUUGAAUAAAUCAAAUGACCACGGAGAACUAGGUGACACCUUUUGUAACUGUGUGGCCUGUUUUCUUAUUUUGCAUAUAUGGGUCUCAACUUUCCCAAAGGCCAUUAUCUAGUUACAGCAUAAAGUAUUAGCAACAGCACAGAAAUUUCCUUAUCUAACUAAUAGAUAAUAUAGACCAAUUUUGUCAUCUAGGAUCCCAUGACUGGGUGGAAUUAAAGCAGAGAGAGAGCAACAGUUGUAUUAGGGAUGUUGCCAAGGUCACCCACUAGAUGGACUAAAGGAUCCCUUAAACCAGUUUCUGUCAAGUUACCAACAGAAGCUGCUGAUUGUGAAAUUUCAAUUACACCGUUAUCCUGCCAAGUGAAAAAGGUAGGAUUAAGAGGAGUAGGAGUCUGAUUAUGUAGUCUUGUUCUAACGUCUAGGGAAAAGCUGUCUGCAGCAUGAAAAUGUCAACUUAUUGUCCUGGUUUUCAGUUUUGAAUGUCUGGUUAUGGCACUGGAUGGUUUGGUGAACUUUCUGUGUGACUCAUCAUCAGCCAUGAGACUUGCCCCUUAAAAUUUAUCUAGUUUUAGCUUUUAGGAUUUCAGGAACAGAGCAGUUCCUGUUUUUACUAAUUUCAUGGAAGAAAAGAUGGGAGGAAUCUAGAAGAAUUUAAGAUUUAGUUCAGUCUACCAGUGUAUAACAGGAACUCAAAGACAAUGCACAGGGCUAUAAUCUAAGAACAGAUGUAUUAACAGCCUUACUCACUGUAAGGCUGGGAACCCUUGAAGCCAGGCAUUAUAUGCACAUUCUCAAAUAUGAUGCUCUAGUUAAAGCCUUGGUAAUAUAUAUAACCAAUGUUUCCAACUGCAUCCUGUUAUAAAGAGAGAGCAAAUUUUAUUAAACUUAGGUAAAUAAUUCUUGCCAUAAAAAAUAAGAAUACUCAUGGAUAGUUUCUGAAUUUUAGAGGAAUCAAAUAGGGACAAAAAAAUGUUUCCACCUUUGUUCACAAAGUAUACCAAAUUACUGUAAACUAAUAAGUAGCUUAAGAGAAAGAAAAGGUUUCCUUAAAGCUAGAAAACAAAAUAUUUAAAUAAAGAACCUGGCUAGGCAUGAGCCACCGCGCCCAGCAGGGCACUUUACCUUUUUA
rnacentral:lncRNA from 1 species